GAUGAACGCUAGCGGGAGGCCUAACACAUGCAAGCCGAGCGGUAUUUGUCUUUCGGGACAGAGAGAGCGGCGUACGGGUGCGGAACACGUGUGCAACCUGCCUUUAUCUGGGGGAUAACCUUUCGAAAGGAAGAUUAAUACCCCAUAAUAUAAUGAAUGGCAUCAUUUAUUAUUGAAAACUCCGGUGGAUAGAGAUGGGCACGCGCAAGAUUAGAUAGUUGGUGAGGUAACGGCUCACCAAGUCGAUGAUCUUUAGGGGGCCUGAGAGGGUGAUCCCCCACACUGGUACUGAGACACGGACCAGACUCCUACGGGAGGCAGCAGUGAGGAAUAUUGGACAAUGGGUUAGCGCCUGAUCCAGCCAUCCCGCGUGAAGGACGACGGCCCUAUGGGUUGUAAACUUCUUUUGUACAGGGAUAAACCUACUCUCGUGAGAGUAGCUGAAGGUACUGUACGAAUAAGCACCGGCUAACUCCGUGCCAGCAGCCGCGGUAA
rnacentral:rRNA from 1 species